CCAACGUGAACCGAGCAAAUCUCCGUCCGAUCGCAGUGAAUCCUGUCGACCACGAGCUGAAAAGAUUCGACUGUGUUUGCAUAUCAAGCUUGGAUUCCAAAGGCAAAUAACAUAAGCAGCUUGGCCUGACAAGAUUACUCUGACCUUUCUGCUUCGUACUGUGAUGAGAUUCACGUAUUCUAGCUUUUGCGGUAAAGCAGUGAUGGGUUUCCUGCUUAGGUUUGUUCAGUAUCUGAUUGCCUGUGUGUGACAGCUUUACAUACAGAUGGUUGUUCUCCCUGCAUCAUUCUUUGUCUGGAUUUGAUUUGCCUCGGUGUUCAUCACGCCGCCACCUUUUGAGUCUCUGCUGAGCCAAAGCGUGUUUUUUCUUGCGAAAUCUAUCUACUCUUGUACAUCAUCACCUUUCCCGGAGAACUGCGCUAUUGUUUGAUUUCGUUUAAGAGACUGUUCUCUGUCUUGUCCGGUGGAAUAAGAGAUGAGUGCAUCAUCGAGCAAUUCUGCGUCACAUGAGCCAGCUGCGAGUUCUUCUGAUAAGCGGGAGUUGGAAGCCCGUGGGAAGAACAAGAAUCAAGAUGAGACCAAAUUUCCUGUACCAUUCUACCGGCUGUUCUCGUUUGCAGACUCCACGGAUGUGAUUCUGACGGUCGUGGGAUCACUUGGUGCGCUGGGGAAUGGGCUUGCUCUGCCACUCAUGACCGUUCUGUUCGGGGAUUUGAUCCAGUCCUUUGGAGGAGCUUCGGACACACAUGAUGUCCUUCGUAGAGUUUCCAAGGUAGCCUUGGAAUUUGUCUACCUAGCAGUUGGAGCAGGCGUGGUAUCUUUGGAGGGUUCGUAGUUGCAUUUGUCCAAGGGUGGCUUCUCACCCUUGUCAUUCUGUGCGCCAUCCCUCCCUUGGUGGUUGCUGGAGGAGUCAUGGCCAUUAGUGUGGCCAGGAUGGCAUCAUUGGGACAAGCAGCUUAUGGAGAAGCUGCAGCGACAGUCGAGCAGACAAUUGGGUCAAUUAGGACAGUUGCAUCUUUUACUGGGGAAAGGCGAGCAGUAAAGAAAUAUGACAAGUCUUUGGUAAAUGCAUACAAUGCAAGUGUUCAAGAGAGUCUGGUUUCUGGAAUAAGUCUCGGCAGAGUCAUGCUUUUCAUGUUCGCUGGGUAUUCAUUGUGAAUAUGGCACGGAGCAAAGUUGAUAUUGCUAAAAGGUUACAAUGGUGGCAAGGUCGUCAAUGUGAUAUUUGCAAUCCUCACUGGCUCCUUGAUUUUGUGGUGGGUAUUAUGUCCAUGUAUUGAAGCUGAUGAAGACGAUCACUGUAAUUUACUGAGAAAAGACGUUGACAACAAAAAGUACUUGUGUUCUCAGUAUCAACGAAUGCACUGAAGUUACUUUCAGAGCUGCAAGAUGGAACGCUAACAGGCAUCAAGAACAUGAUAACAUAUCUCAAGCUCAAUUCAAUCAUGACCUGUUCUUUUUAAUUUUUGCCCGUGUAUUAUCUAGCUUGAUCAUGAAUGAUCUUAUCAUCAAACAAAUAUUCCUCUCCAAACUUGUGCGUAUACAUUAUGUUUCAUUGUUUAUAAUGCA